rnacentral:rRNA from 1 species
GACGAACGCUGGCGGCGUGCCUAAUACAUGCAAGUCGAGCGAAGUUUUUCUGGUGCUUGCACCGGAAAAACUUAGCGGCGAACGGGUGAGUAACACGUAAAGAACCUGCCUCAUAGACUGGGACAACUAUUGGAAACGAUAGCUAAUACCGGAUAACAGCAUUAACUGCAUGGUUGAUGUUUAAAAGUUGGUUUUGCUAACACUAUGAGAUGGCUUUGCGGUGCAUUAGCUAGUUGGUGGGGUAAAGGCCUACCAAGGCGACGAUGCAUAGCCGACCUAAGAGGGUGAUCGGCCACACUGGGACUGAGACACGGCCCAGACUCCUGCGGGAGGCAGCAGUAGGGAAUCUUCCGCAAUGGGCGAAAGCCUGACGGGGCAACGCCGCGUGAGUGAAGAAGGAUUUCGGUUCGUAAAGCUCUGUUGUUAGGGAAGAAUGAUUGUGUAGUAACUAUACACAGUAGAGACGGUACCUAACCAGAAAGCCACGGCUAACUACGUG